rnacentral:rRNA from 1 species
UGGCGAACGAACGGGGAGGAGCUCAUAGCCGAAUCCCGCGUCUCGGGGCGCGGGAAAUGUGGCGUAUGGGAGGCGGCUUUCCUCCGGGAUUCUUCGGCGGUGCAAGUCCCAUUGAACGGGGCGCUUUGCCCGGAGAGGGUGCCAGGCCCUUACCGCCGUCGGAGUCUUCCGGAGUGCCGUUCUCCCGGGAGUCGGGUUGCUUGGGAGUGCAGCCCAAAGCGGGUGGUAAACUCCAUCUAAGGCUAAAUAUGACCGAGAGACCGAUAGCGAACAAGUACCGUGAGGGAAAGUUGAAAAGCACUUUGAAGAGAGAGUUCAAGAGUACGUGAAACCGUUCGGAGGGAAACGGGUGGGGCCUCGAAGUCCUACGGCGGUGGCGGAUUCAGGCGGUUACGUUCGAGCCAAGGCGUUGCCUAAAGCGGGUGGAGGCCGAGACCGGUCGCCCCUCUAUAGGAUGUACGCUGCGUACCGCCGCACUUUCGCAACCCGCCCGCGAGGGCGUCGCGACCGGUCGGAGGGCUGUCGGAUGGGUGGGAGGCUAGGUGCCCGCAUCUCCUUCGGGAUUCGCGGUGUUAUAGGCCUCCCGCUACCCUGACCGGCCCCCCGACCGAGGGCUGUUAACGCUCCCUCCCAGAAGGGAGCGGCGGCUCCGGGGGAGCGCUCGGACCGUGCUGCGAGCCACCUGAACGGGUGAUCGCGGUCGGGGCCGGCGUUAACCCGGGGUGCUGCCGCGGAGGAGCUUAAGGUCGGCGGCGAGUAGAUCGGUGACCCACCCGACCCGUCUUGAAACACGGACCAAGGAGUCCAAUGCGUGCGCGAGUUCCCGGGACUUGUACAGGCCCGAGGGCGAAAUGAAAGUAAGGGGCGGUUCGGCCGCUCGCGUUGAGAUCCCGUUCCCCCUCGGGGGAGGGCGCAUCAACGGCCCGUCUGCGCCGGUUACGGCUGGGCGGAGUGUUAGCGCAUGCCUUGGGACCCGAAAGAUGGUGAACUAUGCCUGGGCAGGAUGAAGCCGGAGGAAACUCCGGUGGAGGUCCGCCGCGGUUCUGACGUGCAAAUCGAUCGUCAGAU